CAGCCCGGAGAGAGGUGAAAGUCAAGCAAGAAGAAAGGAAGUGAGCUCCGAGGUCCUUAUCUCCACUCUUCUGCCAGCAUCAACCUUCACCACCGGGUAAAGAUUCUCAUCUUGUUACCUAGAAGGGAAGUGGUUCACCCAGCAGCGCCUUCGCUCCCAGGCAGUGGGAAAGGCGUGGCCCUCUCCAGGCCCAAGACAGGAUGACAACACUGAGGGUCACCCCAGUGCCUUGGGGAGACAGGAGGCCCCGUCGAUAGUCCCAGGGGAGGUCCUGGCCCAGCCUCGGAAGUUGGCUAAUGCUGCAAGGAAACAACGAAGGUUGUGAGGUUUCUCAUGCGGGAAUUUUCCAGAGUGGGAGAGAAGCCAUGGUAUCAUGGCUAAGACGGGGGCCGACUUACGAUGGUUGGGUCCCGGCUCUGCAACCGGCUACCAGCGUGAGGCUGUCUAACCAUACAGCCGCAAGGAGCCUCGUUUCCUCACCUGUAAGGUUCAGCUAGAGCUGCACUCAUCUGAAAGUUCAAUGGCUGGACAUCCAAGAUGGGGCACCCAGAUGGACAAAAGUCAAUGCUGGCUGUCAACUGAAUUGUCUACGCAUGACUUCUCCAUGUGGCUUGGAUUUUUCACAGUAUGGUGGUUGGGUGCACAGCCACAGUGAAUCAACAAUAAAUGUUCCAAGAAACCAAAA